rnacentral:rRNA from 1 species
GCCCACGGUUAUCCCGAAUGUUUCUGAUCUUGGAAGCUAAGCAGGGUCUGGCUAGGUGGUCUUUAGAUGGGAAACCACCUGGGGAAACCACUGGGUACUUUAGGCU